UACGGGAGGGUGCGAGCGUUGUCCGGAAUCACUGGGCGUAAAGGGCGCGUAGGUGGCGCGGGCAGUCAACGGUGAAAGUUCGGGGCUCAACCCUGAAUCGGCCGUCGAUACUCCCGUGCUGGAGCACUGUAGAGGCUAAUGGAAUUCCGGGUGUAGCGGUGGAAUGCGUAGAGAUCCGGAAGAACACCGGUGGCGAAGGCGGUUAGCUGGGCAGUUGCUGACACUGAGGCGCGACAGCGUGGGGAGCAAACAGG
rnacentral:rRNA from 1 species